UUCAUAUACACUAUAGUUCUAGAUUAUUCUACCAUAUUCAUACAUAUUAUAUUUAAGAAUAUUCUAGAAAUUUGUAGCAAUUUCAACAGAAAUAAACUUCCACCUGGUACCCAAUCCGUCAAGCCAGAGGUAAUAGACAACAGAAACUUGCAUUACUCGGGAACUAGAAAGCAAAUGUUUUUUCUGCGGCAAAGAGAAGGUAAACGGAUUUAACUGAGGUGAAUAAACAAGUGGGAGCAACAAGACUCAACAAUAGAACACAAUUUCGAUUGCAACGUCAUACUUUCAUGCAUAAAUGAUCAAGAAAUCCGUAUGAGAAAAGUAUGAAACACAGACCACAUUACUACACAGCUUACAGAUGAAAUUAAAAUUCUAAUGUGCACAAAUUUAAUUAGAAAGCACUCACUGUGUAAAAGUUUUUUUCACAAUCAUCUAAUCACAAAUCACAAGUUUUUUCUUUAUGUUUAAAAACGGUAUUCAAACAGACAUUCUUGUUUUCAGCUUUUCCUUUACAAAAUCAUGAAGGAAAUAGAGUAAACAAGGUAACAUUUUUGUAAUUAUUAGAAGAAACAUAUAAACCAAAACUGAAAACAAAAAUCAACCAAAUACAUGCUAAGUAUACACGAGAUUCAUUUUCAACACAAGUGUCAAGCAUCAUAAAAAAGGGUGGUCCAGUGCAAAAGGCUUACACUCUAGUUUGGUGUAGGGAGGGUUCAGAGGUACAAAGCCAUUACUCCAUUAGUGGAAAGGUUGUUUCCGCAACGUAAACCCAUAAUCAACAAGUAAAAAAGCAACCUUACAAUUGCACCAAGGCUUAGCCUCUAUAAAUCUUGAAUGCCGAGCAGCAAAAAAUAAAAAAAAUAAAGAUCAUACCAUUUUUAUAAAUAAAGUUUUAGAGAACAAUAAGAUCUUUAUUCUGAUCCGUUGGCAAACAAUGACUGUUAAUUUCAUGGUGUAAAACAAAGUUGGUAUGAGGGAUUUCUAAUGUGUCCAAAAACUGCAUAUUUUGAUGUGAAAAUAAUUAGGAAAAGGAAAAGAGAGAGAGACCAAAAAGCAAAAGCAUAAUAAAAAACCCUAAUGAGAAGAUUCCCCCGUAGCUUUUCAAAUAAGUCCCAACAAAGUAUAUAAACACCAAAGAAAUCAAAUUUUGGAAGCAUAUUUCAGUAUAGAUGCUUAUAUCAGCAAACACACUAGGUAAAAUUACUAGGUCAUUGUACACAGGCUUACCCUUGCACAUGCAAAGAGACUGUUUCAGGGGACUGAGAAAAACUUGCCUGACUUUGCUGUUCUUUAUCGACUCGAAGAUUUUUGCCUCUUCUAAUCAACUAAGAAAAUGUUUGAAAAAACAAAGAUAAGGAAAUAUUUAAAGUAAUUGAUGCAGAAACUACUACCAACUUUCCAUUUAAAGAAAUGUGCAUACAAUUUUGCAUCAGAAAUGUCUGACAGAACUCCGCUGAAUCAGUGAUUGAGCAAUAUGUAGCUUAAACCAACCAAGAUGAUCAAGCAGACCAGACGAUCAACCACCCCUUCAUCAGCACAACAUCUAGGAUAAAGUCCUUAACCCAUUUCUUGGAAGUUGCCACCAUGUAACUAGGAAAAAACUAAUGAAUACAUGAAAGGCAUACCCAAGGCUUGGAUGUCAAGGCAUGAAAAAGAUAUUAGAUGUCCAACUUCCACACCCACCAUUUGCACUGCUAGACGUCAGUUAGUGAUCAUCUUCCAUAUAUACUCUGCAUGAUGAAAGUGACAGACCAUAUUUUGGCAUGCAUAACUUUGCACAAGCCAGGAAC
rnacentral:lncRNA from 1 species